rnacentral:rRNA from 1 species
AAUCGAACGUGGAGAUAGCUGGUUCUCCCCGAAAUAGCUUUAGGGCUAGCCUCAGGCGAAUAACCAUAGAGACGGUAGAGCACUGAUCGGGCAAGGGGGCGUAAAGCCUACCGACCCCAGUCAAACUACGAAUGGCUCAUAUGGGCAGCCUGGGAGUCAGAAUGCGAGUGAUAAGACCCGUAUUCAAGAGGGAAACAGCCCAGACCGCCGGCUAAGGUCCCAAAUGCUGUGCUAAGUGGAGAAGGAUGUAGGACUUCGAAAACAACCAGGAUGUUGGCUCAGAAGCAGCCACCAUUAAAAGAGUGCGUAAUAGCUCACUGGUCGAGAGGCCCUGCGCCGAAAAUAUCCGGGGCUCAAGCACAGAACCGAAGCCGCGGCAGGGUGUACUACGGUACACACUGGGUAGGGGAGCGUUCUUAUCUGGACGAAGGCAGACCGGAAGGACUGCUGGACGGGUAAGAAGUGAGAAUGCCGGUAUGAGUAGCGAAACGACAGGUGAGAAUCCUGUCCACCGAAAGCCUAAGGAAUCCCGGGCAACGCUCGUCGUCCCGGGGUAAGUCGGGACCUAAGCCGAGGCGAAAAGCAUAGGCGAUGGACAACUGGCGAAAAUUCCAGUACCGGGCGACUUCGUUUGAGGAUGGAGUGACGCAGGAAGGAAGCUGAGCGCGCGACUGGUAGAGCGCGUCGAAGGCGGUAGGCUGGUAUGGAGGCAAAUCCCCAUACCGUAAAGGCCGAGAACCGAUAGAUAGGAAGGGCUACGGCCCGACUGAAUUCAGCCGCACUAAACUGCCAAGAAAAGCUUCUAACGAGAAGUCGUCCGCCCGUACCAAAACCGACACAGGUAGGCGGGGAGAGAAUCCUAAGGUGCGCGGGAAAACCCUCGUUAAGGAACUCGGCAAAAUGCAUCCGUAACUUCGGGAAAAGGAUGGCCGUUGAUGGUGAAGGUGUUUACCACCGGAGCUGUUGACGGCGGCAGAAAAGAGGCCCAAGCGACUGUUUACCACAAACACAGGUGCCUGCGAAAGCGCAAGCUGAAGUAUAGGUGCUGACGCCUGCCCGGUGCAGGAAGGUUAAGGAGAGUUGUUAGUCCUAGAGAUGAAGCAGCGAACUGAAGCCCCUGUAAACGGCGGCCGUAACUAUAACGGUCCUAAGGUAGCGAAAUUCCUUGUCGGGUAAGUUCCGACCCGCACGAAAGGCGUAACGAUUUGGGCACUGUCUCAACGAGGGACCCGGUGAAAUUGAAAUACCUGUGAAGAUGCAGGUUACCCGCGACUGGACAGAAAGACCCCAUGGAGCUUUACUGCAGCUUGGCAUUGGUCUUUGGCAUAUAACGUACAGGAUAGCCGGGAGACUGGGAAACCUUAUCGCUAGAUGAGGCGGAGUCACCGUUGGGAUACCGGCCUUUAUAUGCUAAGGAUCUAACCGGAACGUUAACAGCGUUCGGGACAGUACCAGGCGGGCAGUUUGACUGGGGCGGUCGCCUCCGAAAGAGCAACGGAGGCGUCCAAAGGUUCCCUCAGCGCGGACAGAAAUCGCGCGAAGAGCAUAAAGGCAGAAGGGAGCUUGACUGCGAGACUGACGGGUCGAGCAGGUACGAAAGUAGGGCUUAGUGAUCCGGUGGAAAGAGAGUGGAAUUGCCAUCGCUCAACGGAUAAAAGCUACCCUGGGGAUAACAGGCUAAUCUCUCCCAAGAGUCCAUAUCGACGGGGAGGUUUGGCACCUCGAUGUCGGCUCAUCACAUCCUGGGGCUGAAGCAGGUCCCAAGGGUUGGGCUGUUCGCCCAUUAAAGUGGUACGUGAGCUGGGUUCAGAACGUCGUGAGACAGUUCGGUCCAUAUCCAUCGCGGGCGUAAGAUACAUGAGGGAGGCUGCUCCUAGUACGAGAGGACCGGAGUGGACGGACCAACGGUGUACCGGUUGUCCUGCCAAGGGCACGGCCGGGUAGCUGCGUCCGGAAGGGAUAAACGCUGAAAGCAUCUAAGCGUGAAGCCCGUCCCGAGAUGAAGUAUCUCAUUCCUAUAAGGAAGUAAGACCCCUUGA